UACGUAGGGUGCAAGCGUUGUCCGGAAUCAUUGGGCGUAAAGCGCGCGUAGGUGGCUUCGUAAGUCCGUUGUGAAAGUCAAAGGCUCAACCUUUGAAAGCCGAUGGAUACUGCGGAGCUAGAGUACGGAAGAGGCGAGUGGAAUUCCUGGUGUAGCGGUGGAAUGCGCAGAUAUCGGGAAGAACACCCGUGGCGAAGGCGGCUCUCUGGGACGGUACUGACGCUGAGGAGCGAAAGCGUGGGGAGCGAACAGG
rnacentral:rRNA from 1 species